rnacentral:rRNA from 1 species
GACGAACGCUGGCGGCGUGCUUAACACAUGCAAGUCGAGCGGUAAGGCCCUUUCGGGGGUACGACGAGCGGCGAACGGGUGAGUAACACGUGGGUGACCUGCCCUCAGCUCUGGGAUAAGCCUGGGAAACCGGGUCUAAUACCGGAUAUGACUCCAUGACGCAUGUUGUGGGGUGGAAAGCCUUGUGCGGCUGAGGAUGGGCCCGCGGCCUAUCAGCUUGUUGGUGGGGUGAUGGCCUACCAAGGCGACGACGGGUAGCCGGCCUGAGAGGGCGACCGGCCACACUGGGACUGAGACACGGCCCAGACUCCUACGGGAGGCAGCAGUGGGGAAUCUUGCGCAAUGGGCGAAAGCCUGACGCAGCGACGCCGCGUGAGGGAUGACGG